CUAUAGUCCCAGCACUUUGGGAGGCCAAGGUGGGUGGAUCAUGAAGUCAGGAGUUCAAGACCAGCCUGACCAGUAUGGUGAAACCCUGUCUCUACUAAAAAUACAAAACUUAGCAGGGCGCAGUGGCUCACGCCUGCAGUCCCAGCACUUUGGGAGGCCGAGGCGGGGGGAUCAUGAGGUCAGGAGUUCAAGACCAGCCUGGUCAAGAUGGUGAAACCC
rnacentral:lncRNA from 1 species